rnacentral:rRNA from 1 species
UACAGAGGGGGCAAGCGUUGUUCGGAAUUACUGGGCGUAAAGGGUGCGUAGGCGGCCUGCUAAGUCGAACGUGAAAUCCCCGAGCUCAACUCGGGAACUGCGUCCGAUACUGGCAGGCUUGAAUCCGGGAGAGGGAUGCGGAAUUCCAGGUGUAGCGGUGAAAUGCGUAGAUAUCUGGAGGAACACCGGUGGCGAAGGCGGGUCUCUGGGCAGUAACUGACGCUGAGGAGCGAAAGCGUGGGGAGCGAACAGG